UACGUAGGGUGCAAGCGUUAAUCGGAAUUACUGGGCGUAAAGCGUGCGCAGGCGGUUUCUUAAGUCCGUUGUGAAAGCCCCGGGCUUAACCUGGGAAUGGCAGUGGAAACUAGGAGACUUGAAUCUGGCAGAGGGGGGUGGAAUGCCACGUGUAGCAGUGAAAUGCGUAGAGAUGUGGCGGAACACCGAUGGCGAAGGCAGCCCCCUGGGUCAAGAUUGACGCUCAGGCACGAAAGCGUGGGGAGCAAACAGG
rnacentral:rRNA from 1 species